rnacentral:rRNA from 1 species
GUUUGAUCCUGGCUCAGAUUGAACGCUGGCGGUAGGCUUAACACAUGCAAGUCGUGCGAGAAAGUAUCUUCGGAUAUGAGUAGAGCGGCGGACGGGUGAGUAACGCGUAGGAAUCUACCUAGUAGAAGGGGAUAGCCCGGGGAAACCCGGAUUAAUACCGUAUACCUCCUUCGGGAGAAAGAAGGCCUCUCUUUGAAGCUUUCGCUACUAGAUGAGCCUGCGUAAGAUUAGCUUGUUGGUGAGGUAAAGGCUCACCAAGGCUACGAUCUUUAGCUGGUCUGAGAGGACGAUCAGCCACAUUGGGACUGAGACACGGCCCAAACUCCUACGGGAGGCAGCAGUGGGGAAUCUUGCACAAUGGAGGAAACUCUGAUGCAGCGAUGCCGCGUGAGUGAAGAAGGCCCUUGGGUUGUAAAGCUCUUUCGUCGGGGAAGAAAAUGACUGUACCCGAAUAAGAAGGUCCGGCUAACUUCGUGCCAGCAGCCGCGGUAAUACGAAGGGACCUAGCGUAGUUCGGAAUUACUGGGCUUAAAGAGUUCGUAGGUGGUUGAAAAAGUUAGUGGUGAAAUCCCAGAGCUUAACUCUGGAACUGCCAUUAAAACUUUUCAGCUAGAGUAUGAUAGAGGAAAGCAGAAUUUCUAGUGUAGAGGUGAAAUUCGUAGAUAUUAGAAAGAAUACCAAUUGCGAAGGCAGCUUUCUGGAUCAUUACUGACACUGAGGAACGAAAGCAUGGGUAGCGAAGAGGAUUAGAUACCCUCGUAGUCCAUGCCGUAAACGAUGUGUGUUAGACGUUGGAAAUUUAUUUUCAGUGUCGCAGGGAAACCGAUAAACACACCGCCUGGGGAGUACGACCGCAAGGUUAAAACUCAAAUGAAUUGACGGGGACCCGCACAAGUAGUGGAGCAUGUGGUUUAAUUCGAAGAUACGCGCAGAACCUUACCAACACUUGACAUGUUCGUCGCG